rnacentral:rRNA from 1 species
AUUGAACGCUGGCGGCGGGCUUAACACAUGCAAGUCGAGCGGAGCGAGGGUGCUUGCACCUUAGCUUAGCGGCGGACGGGUGAGUAAUGCUUAGGAAUCUGCCUAUUAGUGGGGGACAACAUUCCGAAAGGAAUGCUAAUACCGCAUACGCCCUACGGGGGAAAGCAGGGGAUCUUCGGACCUUGCGCUAAUAGAUGAGCCUAAGUCGGAUUAGCUAGUUGGUGGGGUAAAGGCCUACCAAGGCGACGAUCUGUAGCGGGGCUGAGAGGAUGGUCCGCCACACUGGGACUGGGACACGGCCCAGAAUCCUUCGGGAGGCAGCAAUGGGGAAUAUUGGACAAUGGGGGGAACCCUGAUCCAGCCAUGCCGCGUGUGUGAAGAAGGCCUUAUGGUUGUAAAGCACUUUAAGCGAGGAGGAGGCUCUUUUGGUUAAUACCCAAGAUGAGUGGACGUUACUCGCAGAAUAAGCACCGGCUAACUCUGUGCCAGCCGCCGCCGUAA